UACAGAGGGGGCAAGCGUUAUUCGGGAAUUAUUGGGGCGUAAAGGGCGCGUAGGCGGCCUGGCAAGUGGAAGGUGAAAUCCCUCGGCUUUAACCGAGGAACUGCCCUCCAAACUGCUUGGCUUGAGUCCGGGAGAGGUGAGUGGAAUUCCCAGUGUAGCGGUGAAAUGCGUAGAUAUUGGGAGGAACACCAGUGGCGAAGGCGGCUCACUGGACCGGAACUGACGCUGAGGCGCGGAAAGCGUGGGGAGCAAACGGG
rnacentral:rRNA from 1 species